rnacentral:lncRNA from 1 species
GCGAAGAGAAGCCAGGGCAGCCGGCUUUCUAAGGAAACUGGGUAGUGACAGCAAAGUGAGAGAAAAAUGCAGGCGGAUGAAGGGGGAACAGAGGAAGAGUCCCCGAGUGUUUCAUGCUGAAAAGGCAGCGGCGGGGGAAGGAGACUUGAGGUGCCAGUGGAUGUGGGGAAGCGGGCCCCAGUGCCGCGGAGCCACACCGGAAGCCCAAACAGCAACGAGGCCCCGAUGGGAGGAGAUGGUUUUGAUUAAAAAGGCAAAGUUUCUCCUGCUUCCUGAGCACACAAGGCACACAUCCGGAGGCAGCUGAUCUACGGAGAAGGAGCUUCCUGACUAAUUAUCACGUCCCUGGGGAGCGCCGAUC